UGGGGUAUAUUGCACAAUGGGGGAAACCCUGAUGCAGCGACGCUGCGUGAGCGAAGAAGUCUUUCUAGUCGUAUAGAUCCGUCCUAUGAGAAGAUAAUGACGGUAUCAUAGGAGGAAGCCCUGGCUAAAUACGUGCCAGCAGCCGCGGUAAUACGUAUGGGGCGAGCGUUGUCCCGAAUUAUUGGGCGUAAAGGGUACGUCGGCGGGUUUUUAAGUCAGGUGUCAAAGCGUGGAGCUUAACUCCAUUAAGCACUUGACACUGAAAGACUUGAGUGAAGCAGAGGAAAGUGGGAUUCCUAGGGUAGCGGGGAAAUGCGUAGAUAUUAGGAGGAAUACCGGUAGCGAAGGCGACUUUCUGGACUUUUACUGACUCUGAGGCGCGAAAGCGUGGGGAGCAAACAGG
rnacentral:rRNA from 1 species